rnacentral:rRNA from 1 species
AACGAACGCUGGCGGCAGGCUUAACACAUGCAAGUCGAACGCAUCCUUCGGGGUGAGUGGCAGACGGGUGAGUAACGCGUGGGAACGUGCCCUUCAGUUCGGGCUAACCCAGCGAAAGCUGUGAUAAUACCGCAUAAGCCCUGAGGGGGAAAGCGGGGGAUCGCCAAACCUCGCGCGCUUAGAGCGGCCGAUGCCUGAUUAGCUUGUUGGUGGGGUAAAAGCCCACCAAGGCGACGAUCAGUAGCUGGUCUGAGAGGACGAUCAGCCACACUGGGACUGAGACACGGCCCAGACUCCUACGGGAGGCAGCAGUGGGGAAUAUUGGACAAUGGGCGGAAGCCUGAUCCAGCCAUGCCGCGUGUGUGAAGAAGGCCUUUUGGUUGUAAAGCACUUUAAGCGAGGAGGAGGCUACCUGGAUUAAUACUCUAGGAUAGUGGACGUUACUCGCAGAAUAAGCACCGGCUAACUCUGUGCCAGCCGCCGCAGUAA